rnacentral:rRNA from 1 species
AUGGCUCAGAUUGAACGCUGGCGGCAGGCUUAACACAUGCAAGUCGAGCGGAGAGAGGUAGCUUGCUACUGAUCUUAGCGGCGGACGGGUGAGUAAUGCUUAGGAAUCUGCCUAU